rnacentral:rRNA from 1 species
UACGGAGGGUGCGAGCGUUAAUCGGAAUUACUGGGCGUAAAGCGUGCGCAGGCGGUUCGCUAAGACCGAUGUGAAAUCCCCGGGCUUAACCUGGGAACUGCAUUGGUGACUGGCGGGCUAGAGUGUGGCAGAGGGGGGUAGAAUUCCACGUGUAGCAGCGAAAUGCGUAGAGAUGUGGAGGAAUACCGAUGGCGAAGGCAGCCCCCUGGGCUAACACUGACGCUCAUGCACGAAAGCGUGGGGAGCAAACAGG